CCUGCCCUAGAGGCCUUGCAGGAGUAUCUGCUGUUUCGUGUGUACAUCAGUAGGUGGCAGAGAGGAGAGAGGCUUUGUGUUCUGACCUGUGAACAUCUGAUUAGUAGUAGCCUAACACU
ensembl:snoRNA LOC120096118 small nucleolar RNA SNORA17